AGCAGCCGCGGUAAUUCCAGCUCCAAUAGCGUAUGUUAAAGUUGUUGCAGUUAAAAAGCUCGUAGUUGAAUUUCGGGAUUUAUCCGUCGGUCGGGCUUUUGGGUCUGUACUGGCGUGAUGAAUUCCUACCUUCUGAAUAACCAGCAUGCCAUUAAUUUGGUGCGCCGGGGAAGCAGGACUGUUACCUUGAAAAAUUAGAGUGCUUAAAGCAGGCUAUUGCCUGAAUACAUUAGCAUGGAAUAAUGAAAUAGGACGGCAUGGUUCUAUUUUGUUGGUUUCUAGGAUCACCGUAAUGAUUAAUAGGGAUAGUUGGGGGCAUUAGUAUUCAAUUGUCAGAGGUGAAAUUCUUGGAUUUAUUGAAGACUAACUUCUGCGAAAGCAUUUGCCAAGGAUGUUUUCAUUAAUCAAGAACGAAAGUUAGGGGAUCGAAGACGAUCAGAUACCGUCGUAGUCUUAACCAUAAACUAUGCCGACUAGGGAUCGGACGAUGUUAAUUUUUAAUGACUCGUUCGGCGCCUUA
rnacentral:misc_RNA from 1 species